rnacentral:rRNA from 1 species
UGGGGAAUAUUGGACAAUGGGCGCAAGCCUGAUCCAGCCAUGCCGCGUGUGUGAAGAAGGCCUUAUGGUUGUAAAGCACUUUAAGCGAGGAGGAGGCUACUUUAGUUAAUACCUAGAGAUAGUGGACGUUACUCGCAGAAUAAGCACCGGCUAACUCUGUGCCAGCAGCCGCGGUAAUACAGAGGGUGCAAGCGUUAAUCGGAUUUACUGGGCGUAAAGCGCGCGUAGGUGGUUCGUUAAGUUGAAUGUGAAAGCCCCGGGCUCAACCUGGGAACUGCAUCCAAAACUGGCGAGCUAGAGUAGGGCAGAGGGUGGUGGAAUUUCCUGUGUAGCGGUGAAAUGCGUAGAUAUAGGAAGGAACACCAGUGGCGAAGGCGACCACCUGGGCUCAUACUGACACUGAGGUGCGAAAGCGUGGGGAGCAAACAGG